GCCUGCCUAGCUCAAUCGGAUAGAGCGUCAGACUCUUAUCUUCUGUUCUCCAGUUGCAUAUAAUCUGAAGGCUGCGAGUUCGACCCUCGCGGUGGGCU